CACAUACUCCCUUCGUCCGGAAUUACUUAUCGCAUAAAUGGAUGUAUCUAGUUUUAUUUUAGUUAUAGAUACAUCCAUUUUUAUCUGUUUUUGCAACAAGUAAUUCGGGAUGGAGAUAAUGCAUG
rfam:Triticum urartu cultivar G1812 contig273367, whole genome shotgun sequence.